GGCCCGGUAGUAUAGUGGUAAUGUAUCCACUUUCUGCGUUGCAGUAUGAAGCAUGUUUAAGUGGAGAACUCUCGUUCGAUCCGAGGCCGGGCCA